UACAGAGGGUGCAGGCGUUGUUCGGAAUUAUUGGGCGUAAAGCGCGUGUAGGCGGCUUUGCAAGUCGGGUGUGAAAUCCCUCAGCUCAACUGAGGAAGUGCGCCCGAAACUGCUUAGCUUGAGUGCCGGAGAGGAUGGCGGAAUUCCAGGUGUAGCGGUGAAAUGCGUAGAUAUCUGGAGGAACACCGGUGGCGAAGGCGGCAUCCUGGACCGGCAUUGACGCUGAGGCGCGAAAGCUAGGGGAGCAAACGGG
rnacentral:rRNA from 1 species